CCUACGGGUGGCAGCAGUCGAGAAUAAUUCACAAUGGGGGCAACCCUGAUGGUGCAACGCCGCGUGGAGGAUGACGGUCUUCGGAUUGUAAACUCCUGUCAUCUGGGAGUAAGACCUGGCUGUGAAUAGCAGACAGGGUUGAUAGUACCAGAAGAGGAAGGGACGGCUAACUUCGUGCCAGCAGCCGCGGUAAUACGAAGGUCCCGAGCGUUGUUCGGAAUCACUGGGCGUAAAGGGAGCGUAGGCGGCGUGGUAAGUCAGAUGUGAAAUCCCGGGGCUCAACCCCGGAACUGCAUCCGAUACUGCCGUGCUAGAGGAUUGGAGAGGUAGCUGGAAUUCUUGGUGUAGCAGUGAAAUGCGUGGAGAUCAAGAGGAACACUCGUGGCGAAAGCGAGCUACUGGACAAUAUCUGACGCUGAGGCUCGAAGGCCAGGGUAGCGAAAGGGAUUAGAUACCCCGGUAGUC
rnacentral:rRNA from 1 species